GAUGAACGCUAGCGGGAGGCCUAAUACAUGCAAGUCGAACGGUAACAGGGGUAGCAAUACCCGCUGACGAGUGGCGCACGGGUGCGUAACACGUACACAAUCUACCUUAUACUGGAGCAUAACCUUGGGAAACUGAGGCUAAUUCUCCAUAACAUAUUGAAGAGGCAUCUCUUUAAUAUUAAAACUCAGGUGGUAUAAGAUGAGUGUGCGUCUGAUUAGCUAGUUGGUGGGGUAAUGGCUCACCAAGGCAACGAUCAGUAGCUGGUCUGAGAGGAUGAUCAGCCACACUGGAACUGAGACACGGUCCAGACUCCUACGGGAGGCAGCAGUAGGGAAUAUUGGACAAUGGGCGGAAGCCUGAUCCAGCCAUCCCGCGUGUAGGAAUAAGGCCCUAUGGGUUGUAAACUACUUUUAUUAGGGAAGAAAAACUUUAGAUUUAUUCAGAGCUUGACGGUACCUAAGGAAUAAGCACCGGCUAACUCCGUGCCAGCA
rnacentral:rRNA from 1 species